GAGGAAUAUUGGUCAAUGGACGAGAGUCUGAACCAGCCAAGUAGCGUGAAGGAUGACUGCCCUAUGGGUUGUAAACUUCUUUUAUACGGGAAUAAAGUGAGGCACGUGUGCCUUUUUGUAUGUACCGUAUGAAUAAGGAUCGGCUAACUCCGUGCCAGCAGCCGCGGUAAUACGGAGGAUCCGAGCGUUAUCCGGAUUUAUUGGGUUUAAAGGGAGCGUAGGCGGACGCUUAAGUCAGUUGUGAAAGUUUGCGGCUCAACCGUAAAAUUGCAGUUGAUACUGGGUGUCUUGAGUACAGUAGAGGCAGGCGGAAUUCGUGGUGUAGCGGUGAAAUGCUUAGAUAUCACGAAGAACUCCGAUUGCGAAGGCAGCUUGCUGGACUGUAACUGACGCUGAUGCUCGAAAGUGUGGGUAUCAAACAGGAUUAGAUGCCCUGGUAGUCCACACAGUAAACGAUGAAUACUCGCUGUUUGCGAUAUACAGUAAGCGGCCAAGCGAAAGCGUUAAGUAUUCCACCUGGGGAGUACGCCGGCAACAGUGAAACUCAAAGGAAUUGACGGGGGCCCGCACAAGCGGAGGAACAUGUGGUUUAAUUCGAUGAUACGCGAGGAACCUUACCCGGGCUUGAAUUGCAACUGAAUGAUGUGGAGACAUGUCAGCCGCAAGGCAGUUGUGAAGGUGCUGCAUGGUUGUCGUCAGCUCGUGCCGUGAGGUGUCGGCUUAAGUGCCAUAACGAGCGCAACCCUUAUCGAUAGUUACCAUCAGGUUAUGCUGGGGACUCUGUCGAGACUGCCGUCGUAAGAUGUGAGGAAGGUGGGGAUGACGUCAAAUCAGCACGGCCCUUACGUCCGGGGCUACACACGUGUUACAAUGGGGGGUACAGAAGGCAGCUACACGGCGACGUGAUGCUAAUCCCUAAAGCCUCUCUCAGUUCGGAUUGGAGUCUGCAACCCGACUCCAUGAAGCUGGAUUCGCUAGUAAUCGCGCAUCAGCCACGGCGCGGUGAAUACGUUCCCG
rnacentral:rRNA from 1 species